rnacentral:rRNA from 1 species
GAUGAAUGCUGGCGGCGUGCCUAAUACAUGCAAGUCGAGCGAAUGGAUUAAGAGCUUGCUCUUAUGAAGUUAGCGGCGGACGGGUGAGUAACACGUGGGUAACCUGCCCAUAAGACUGGGAUAACUCCGGGAAACCGGGGCUAAUACCGGAUAACAUUUUGAACCGCAUGGUUCGAAAUUGAAAGGCGGCUUCGGCUGUCACUUAUGGAUGGACACGCGUCGCAUUAGCUAGUUGGUGAGGUAACGGCUCACCAAGGCAACGAUGCGUAGCCGACCUGAGAGGGUGAUCGGCCACACUGGGACUGAGACACGGCCCAGACUCCUACGGGAGGCAGCAGUGGGGAAUUGUUCGCAAUGGGCGCAAGCCUGACGACGCAACGCCGCGUGGAGGAUGAAGGUCUUCGGAUUGUAAACUCCUGUUGAUCGGGAAGAAUGUCUUUAGGGCUAAUACCCCUGAAGAGUGACGGUACCGGUUGAGGAAGCCCCGGCUAACUCUGUGCCAGCAGCCGCCGUAA